rnacentral:rRNA from 1 species
UGGAUCCAGACUUUGAUUAUGGCUCAGGAUGAACGCUAGCUACAGGCUUAACACAUGCAAGUCGAGGGGCAGCAUGAACUUAGCUUGCUAAGUUUGAUGGCGACCGGCGCACGGGUGAGUAACACGUAUCCAACCUUCCGUUUACUCAGGGAUAGCCUUUCGAAAGAAAGAUUAAUACCUGAUAGUAUGGUGAGAUUGCAUGAUAACACCAUUAAAGAUUUAUUGGUAAACGAUGGGGAUGCGUUCCAUUAGGUAGUAGGCGGGGUAACGGCCCACCUAGCCUGCGAUGGAUAGGGGUUCUGAGAGGAAGGUCCCCCACAUUGGAACUGAGACACGGUCCAAACUCCUACGGGAGGCAGCAGUGAGGAAUAUUGGUCAAUGGGCGAGAGCCUGAACCAGCCAAGUAGCGUGAAGGAUGAAGGCCCUACGGAUUGUAAACUUCUUUUAUACGGGAAUAAAGUAUCCUACGUGUAGGAUUUUGUAUGUACCGUAUGAAUAAGCAUCGGCUAACUCCGUGCCAGCAGCCGCGGUAAUACGGAGGAUGCGAGCGUUAUCCGGAUUUAUUGGGUUUAAAGGGAGCGCAGACGGGAGAUUAAGUCAGUUGUGAAAGUUUGCGGCUCAACCGUAAAAUUGCAGUUGAUACUGGUUUCCUUGAGUGCAGUUGAGGCAGGCGGAAUUCGUGGUGUAGCGGUGAAAUGCUUAGAUAUCACGAGGAACCCCGAUUGCGAAGGCAGCUUGCUAAACUGUAACUGACGUUCAUGCUCGAAAGUGUGGGUAUCAAACAGGAUUAGAUACCCUGGUAGUCCACACGGUAAACGAUGGAUACUCGCUGUUGGCGAUAUACUGUCAGCGGCCAAGCGAAAGCAUUAAGUAUCCCACCUGGGGAGUACGCCGGCAACGGUGCAACUCAAAGGAAUUGACGGA